CGGAGAAAAAUGGAUAUACCAGUUAGCAUUUUAUUUAAUAAUAAAUUAUCAUUUCCACCUCAUAAACAUUACUGUGUAUAAAAAGUAUGCAUUUCGUGCAUUCAUGUUAUGCACUUCUGUACAUAUCUAUAAUUUAUUGGUUUUGAUGAAUAUCAACACCCUGAUUGUACUCUUUGGACUUAUUAAAACAAAUUUGAACUCGUUAACCGCCACAACUAAGUUCUAAAUACAAAAUCCGCGCGGAUAUUUGUAACAUUUACGCGAGUUUAUCGAAGAGAAAUAUAAAUUUUCGACAUUCCGGGGAAAGAUUGAAACAUGAUUGUUCUGUCCACGAAGUAUAACCGGCCAAAUCAUCAUCACCGGAAAGCUGAAUUCAACCAGUUGCUGUUCCGGAUCAUGCCGCACCGGAUGUCGGGCAUUCUAGCAUGGAAGUGUGCAAGAUUGUUAUGCCCUUCCGCGGUUCUAUCCUAUACCGGGAGCCAUGUAGGAUCACCGAACGCAAUUGUUCCAUUUUCACAAAGGCAAAAUCCGGCCAGUUCGUGCUCCUGAAGAUAUCCGGAUAACGUAGGCGCAAAAUACUAUGAAACGGUGAAGGAACGUUGGGAGGAACUUCCAGUCGCUGUAGUCCCUGCUGAUCCCUUCGAGGAUCCCUCCUGGCCAUAAUUUGAACUUAUUUCAUGUGUAGUUUGAAGUGUUUUAUAUUUUAUUCAAUUAAUUGUAUGCUAAACUUUAAGGAAAUGACAAUAAAUUGAUGAUUUUCUCUUCAACCAUACCAAACAA